rnacentral:lncRNA from 1 species
CUGGCUUCCUCACAUGGCUGCCUUGGAAGUAAACUCUCUCUCUGCUGCGAUGUCAUCGUCUUGGUGUUUGGCUUUCUGGGCGGCGGGCAAAAACGAACCUGGUUCAGUAACAAAUGGCGAGCCAGCCAGGAGCUAAGUGCAGAUGGACCUUUUUGCCCGAGAUUCGUGAGCCCCUUUCCAGUAUGGAGGACCUGUGGGUGCGUCCAGCAGCUGCCGGGUGCAUUUCUCCUGGGACUGUUCUGGGACUCUUUCCUGGCUUGGCGCUGCCGACUGCUUGGUGCAUAGUUUCACUUUCAGUAGAGAGACAGCUUCUUGGUUUGGAAGAUGUCUUUUUGAAAUACUUCUUAUUAAAUACCUGGUUACUUGCUAACACAAUAUGGGCUGAACUUUGGGAGCCCACCUGCAUCACCGUCUCACUAAGGGACUGGUCCAAUGAGAUGGAACAACCUAUGCUCCUCACCAACAGGAUAACCCCUCAAGAUUGAAGAUGAACAACAAAAGGGGGGAUUGAUACGGGUUAACACAAGGUUAACAUAAGGGAAGCCAUAUUGUAAAGAAGAAACCAUAUUGUAACUUUGAAUGACCUCUGAUUAACUAACCCAGACAUGCUCUGUAGAUUUUAUGGACCCUGUCAGCUGCUAUAAUUUGAUAAGUUUGUUCUUUUGAGUUCCUUAGGAAUGUGAUGACCCCCAGGUAGAGAGUCUGUGCUGAUGGCCAUCAUCAUUGACAACUGAAAGAUCAGGGUAUAGGCCAUUGCUCUGGUCUCUGAUGCAUCUCCAGUAAAACAAAAGACUAUCAGAAACUGAGACCAGAUGUCUUCCCCACCUGGAGAACAGAUGGAGGCCCCACUGGGAUUAGGUCUAUUUUUCAGGGACUGUUAAAAUUUGGGUUGUCUAUACUUCUUGUCCUUCUGAUAAGCCAGGAACAUGAGAAUAUUUCCAAAUGAGUGCUAAAAAUGUCAUUCCUUUAACCCAGAUCUAUGCCCCAAUUGAGCAGGAAGUAGCUAGAUCGGUCAUCGCCCCAAAUCCCUCAAGAAUGAGAAGUGACCAAACAAUAGGGGGGAUUGAAACCAGCAAACAGCCAUUGAUGAUUAAGUAUCUAGGUACUAAAGUUUUUUCCUCUUUGCAGUUACUGAUUAUAGCUUUUAGCUGUUGAACCCAGCCAUUGGUAACUGUGCUGUUUAGGCAAUCUGCUACCUGACUCCCACCAGGGUCCUAUAGAUAACAUCUCCCUGGAGCCUGGGUCACCAUGGUAAUGGGGUGUGUGAGCUGUUUUUCAGGAAUUAGAACUCCUUGUCCACUUCAGGCCAGUUGAGGCCACCAACCUCUCAACGGGGCUCAAGCAGAUGUCUGAUAGGCAACCUUUCGACAUCAAGAGGCUAAAAACUCCACCCUCUGAUCAUGCUAAUACCGCCAUUUUGUGAACAUGGGUCCUAUGAAG